rnacentral:rRNA from 1 species
GACGAACGCUGGCGGCGUGCUUAACACAUGCAAGUCGAACGAUGAAGCCGGAGCUUGCUCUGGUGAAUUAGUGGCGAACGGGUGAGUAACACGUGAGUAACCUGCCCUUGACUCUGGGAUAACUGCGGGAAACUGUAGCUAAUACCGGAUACGACCCUCGGAGGCAUCUCCUGGGGGUGGAAAGAAUUUCGGUCAAGGAUGGACUCGCGGCCUAUCAGCUAGUUGGUGAGGUAAAGGCUCACCAAGGCGACGACGGGUAGCCGGCCUGAGAGGGUGACCGGCCACACUAGGACUGAGACACGGCCCAGACUCCUACGGGAGGCAGCAGUGGGGAAUAUUGCACAAUGGGCGCAAGCCUGAUGCAGCAACGCCGCGUGAGGGAUGACGGCCUUCGGGUUGUAAACCUCUUUUAGCAGGGAAGAAGCGAAAGUGACGGCACCUGCAGAAAAAGCACCGGCUAACUACGUGCCAGCCGCCGCGGUAA